rnacentral:rRNA from 1 species
CAUGCAGUCGAGCGGAACGAUCCUAGCUUGCUAGGAGGCGUCGAGCGGCGGACGGGUGAGUAAUGCAUAGGAAUCUGCCCGGUAGUGGGGGAUAACUUGAGGAAACUCAAGCUAAUACCGCAUACGCCCUACGGGGGAAAGCAGGGGCUCUUCGGACCUUGCGCUAUCGGAUGAGCUUAUGUCGGAUUAGCUAGUUGGUGAGGUAAUGGCUCACCAAGGCGACGAUCCGUAGCUGGUCUGAGAGGAUGAUCAGCCACAUCGGGACUGAGACACGGCCCGAACUCCUACGGGAGGCAGCAGUGGGGAAUAUUGGACAAUGGGGGCAACCCUGAUCCAACCAUGCCGCGUGUGUGAAGAAGGCCCUCGGGUUGUAAAGUACUUUCAGCGAGGAA